rnacentral:rRNA from 1 species
AUUGAACGCUGGCGGCAUGCUUUACACAUGCAAGUCGAACGGUAACAGGCCGCAAGGUGCUGACGAGUGGCGAACGGGUGAGUAAUGCAUCGGAACGUGCCCAGUCGUGGGGGAUAACGCAGCGAAAGCUGUGCUAAUACCGCAUACGAUCUAUGGAUGAAAGCGGGGGACCGUAAGGCCUCGCGCGAUUGGAGCGGCCGAUGUCAGAUUAGGUAGUUGGUGGGGUAAAGGCCUACCAAGCCGACGAUCUGUAGCUGGGCUGAGAGGACGACCAGCCACACUGGGACUGAGACACGGCCCAGACUCCUACGGGAGGCAGCAGUGGGGAAUUUUGGACAAUGGGCGCAAGCCUGAUCCAGCAAUGCCGCGUGCAGGAAGAAGGCCUUCGGGUUGUAAACUGCUUUUGUACGGAACGAAACGGUCUGGGUUAAUACCCUGGGCUAAUGACGGUACCGUAAGAAUAAGCACCGGCUAACUACGUGCCAGCAGCCGCGGUAAAAC